CCUGGUUGAUCCUGCCAGUAGUCAUAUGCUUGUCUCAAAGAUUAAGCCAUGCAUGUGUAAGCACACACUGUUUUAAAAGUGAAGCCGCGAAUGGCUCAUUACAACAGCCACAGUUUAUUAGAACUUACAAUCAUGGAUAACUGUGGUAAUUCUAGAGCUAAUACACGCACAAAAACUUCAACUGAAUUGGUUGAAGUGCUUUUAUUAGAACAAAAACCGAACGGCGUUUGACGAAUGUUGAACGUCGAAACUGUUUGGUGAAUCUGAAUAACUAUUUCUGAUCGCAUGGUCUAGCACCGGCGACAUCACUUUCAAGUGUCUGCCUUAUCAACCUUCGAUGGUAGUCUAUGCGACUACCAUGGUGAUAACGGGUAACGGAGAAUCAGGGUUCGACUCCGGAGAGGGAGCCUGAGAAACGGCUACCACAUCCAAGGAAGGCAGCAGGCGCGCAAAUUACCCACUCCCAGCUUGGGGAGGUAGUGACGAAAAAUAACGAGACGAUUCUCGUUUGAGAAACGUUAUCGAAAUGAGUACGCUUUACACACGCUAACGAGUAGCAAUUGGAGGGCAAGUCUGGUGCCAGCAGCCGCGGUAAUUCCAGCUCCAAUAGCGUAUAUUAAAGUUGCUGCGGUUAAAACGCUCGUAGUUGAAUUGUGGUCUUAGACAACAGUCCCCCUACAAAGGUGUGGCACGGUUGCUCGAGAUCUUCAUUCGUGGUUGCUGUUGUUGCUCUUCAUUGAGUGUCAAUGGUGCCUCGAGAUUUUACUUUGAAAAAAUUAGAGUGCUCAAAGCAGGUUGUGAUGCCUGAAUAAUGGUGCAUGGAAUAAUAGAAUACGAUCUCGGUUCUAUUUUGUUGGUUUUCGAACCGGAGAUAAUGAUUGAAAGGAACAGACGGGGGCAUUCGUAUUGCUGCGUUAGAGGUGAAAUUCUUGGAUCGCAGCAAGAUGAACAAUUGCGAAAGCAUUUGCCAAGAAUGUUUUCAUUAAUCAAGAACGAAAGUUAGAGGUUCGAAGGCGAUCAGAUACCGCCCUAGUUCUAACGGUAAACUAUGCCAACCAGCGAUUCGCCGAAGUUCAUUUAAGACUCGGCGAGCAGCUUCCGGGAAACCAAAGUGUUUCGGUUCCGGGGGAAGUAUGGUUGCAAAGCUGAAACUUAAAGGAAUUGACGGAAGGGCACCACCAGGAGUGGAGCCUGCGGCUUAAUUUGACUCAACACGGGAAAACUCACCCGGCCCGGACACUGGAAGGAUUGACAGAUUGACAGCUCUUUCUUGAUUCAGUGGCUGCACGUGGACUGGAUGUGAAAAACAUGAUUCUUGUCGUGAAUUACGAUUGUCCAAAUCAUUACGAAGACUACGUGCAUCGUGUGGGGCGAUGUGGUCGUGCUGGUAACAAAGGAUUUGCGUAUACAUUCAUUCAACCGUAUGGUCAAGAGGUCAGCGCUGGAAAUAUUGUUAAAGCUUUCGAAUUGGCAGGCCAAGAAGUGCCGCCUGGUUUGAAGCUGAUGUGGGAAACGUACAAGCAACAGAUGGCAUUGGAAGGAAAAGAGGUGAAACAUGGCGGAGGUGGUUACGGUGGUCACGGUUUUCGC
rnacentral:rRNA from 1 species